GAACCACUAGGAGGAACAAGUAGGAGUCUAUUUACAUAUAUCUAUGUGCAUAUAUUUGUGUGUGUACAUAUACAUGCAUAUAUAUGCAAUAUACAAUAAGAGAUUUAUUUUAGUAGAAAUGUUGUGGUUUUUUUUGAGGAAGAUUAGCCCUGAGCUAACUACUGCCAAUCCUCCUCUUUUUGCUGAGGAAGACUGGCCCUGAGCUAACAUCCAUGCCCAUCUUCCUGUACGUUAUAUGUGGGACGCCUACCACAGCAUGCUUUUGCCGAGUGGUGCCAUGUCCACACCCGGGAUCUGAACUGGUGAACCCUGGCUGCUGAGAAGUGGAAUGUGUGAACUUAACUGCUGCGCCACCGGGCUGGCCCCUCUUGUCUUUUUGAUAAUAGCCAUUUAACAGGUGUGAGAUGAUAUCUCAUUGUGGUUUUGAUUCCAUUUUCCUGAUGAUUAGUGAUGUUGCACAUCUUUUCAUAUACCUAUUGGCCGUUUGUACGUCUUCUUUCCUUUGAGGAGGAGGAAGAGAAGAAGAAGAAAAAAGACGAUUGGCAACAGAUGUUAGCUCAGGUGCCAAUCAAAAAAACAACAAAAGAAUCCUCUGAGAAUGAAGUCAGCGAACCAACAUUUUUGACAACAGGCAUCCUGAUAAUUCUCUUACACAUGAAACUAUGCAUUGGACCCUCAGCUGCCUCAACUUGCCUUCUCAAGGAACUACUGAAAUCAUCCAGGAAUUCUCAAGGUCUGGAGUUGUAGGUUCUUCUGGUUGUGCUAUAUGGGAUGCUGCCUCAACGUGGCUUGAUGAGCAGAGCCAUGUCUGUGCCCAGGAUCCGAACCAGUGAAACCCUGGGCCGCCAAAGCAGAGUGUGCCAACUUAAUCGCUCGGCCACAGGGCUGUCCCCUCUCAGAGGAUUCUUAUCUCCAAGGCUUAAGGAAGCAGAUAAAAAGAAUAAUGAUAAUGCAUUCACAUACUGUGGAAACGAAAUUUGUACUCCCUUUCUGAAAAGCAGGCCAGCAAAGAUGAUCAAAAGCUUCAAAAAAUGAUCGUGAAUGCUGGAAGAUUGACAGCUCUGGGAAGAGCGCCAUCUCUCAAGUGUGCCUUUUAGGAGUAGCAGUGAGUUGAAUGUGCCCUCCCCCCACUACCUUAUGAGGCCUCUGCUGACAUGAUGUGAUGUGCCCAGCGCUCAGCACGGGAGGGAGAUGUUUCCGUGACUCAUGCAGCUCUCUCUCUUUUUGCCAUUUCCUCCAAGUUACUUUGACUUCAUGGCACGUCUUUGUGAGUGUGAAUCAAAGUACCUCUAACUCGUGCCAUCUGGAUCACUGACUGUGGUAACUAGGGAGAAUUGGGAAGCAGGUACAGAUCAUCUUCAGCCUCUGCUGUCUGACUCAGGGAUAGAUUGGCUAGAAAAACCAGAAACAUAGCCCAGCUGGCAAAAGUAAAGAGGAAAGUGGAGUUUUUAUUUCAACUGGCCAUCACAUGUCUACACGGGAAGCAAAGUACUGUUGGGCCCCUCAGAGAAAGGCAGGAACUGAGGGGCCUCUCUGUUUCUCAAGGGUCACAGAAUUUCUCUCAUUGCUUGUCUCUCUGCUCCAGCUCUCUCUGCUUGCACAUGCUCUGAAUGGACCCCUCAACCUCUAUUCGGCCUCCACUCUACUCAACCUCUACAAGUCCCCUCAGACAUGGGUCUCAUUGAGUCUCUGUGUGUUUCUUGGUUCAAAUGAGAGAGAGACAGAGCAAGAGAGAGAGAGAGAGAGCACACAACUGAUGGUUUAGUGAGCCUAUGGAGUGAUUUUUGUUGGGUCAAGCAUCAUUCCUGUUCCCAGAGAUGACCAUGGCUGUGUCGGGUUGUAGAGGAGAGCACAGUAGAAUGGGGUGUUGGUAUGUAGGCAAGAACUGGCAUUACUAGUCCAUUCUUCAGUUGAUGGAUGGCUUUGUAGCAAGUUGGCUAGGCUGCAUUUGUUUCCCAGAAUCUCCUUCCUGGUGUGUUUCCUGUUAGGGUGGGCCACAGAGAGAUCCCUAGUGUGAGAUUUGGAAACCGGAGGCGAAGUGGUAGCCA
ensembl:lncRNA